GAUACUUGGUGUGAAUUUGCAGAAUCCGGGGAACCAUCGAGUCUUUGAACGCAAGUUGCGCCUAUGCGAUACUUGGUGUGAAUUGCAGAAUUCAGUGAAUCAUCGAAUCUUUGAACGCACAUUGCGCCCAUUAGUAUUCUAGUGGGGAUGCCUCUUCGAGCGUCAUUUCGACCCCUAAGCCCCUGUUGCUUAGUGUUGGGAAUCUACGGCGUAGUUCCUUAAAGUUAGUGGCGGAGUUAGGAUUCACUCUCAGCGUAGUAAUAUCUCUCGCUCGUGUGGUGGCCCUGUCUGCUAGCCGUUAAAACCACCUAUAUUUUUUAGUGGUUGACCUCGAAUUAGGUAAGAAUACCCGCUGAACUUAAGCAUAUCAAUAAGCGGAGGAAGACCGCGACCCCAGGGCAGGGGGGACUAACCCCUGAGUUUAAGCAUAUCAAUUAGCGGAAGAA
rnacentral:rRNA from 1 species